rnacentral:sRNA from 1 species
UUUUGCUGGAGCCUGCGACCGAGUGGGAGUGGAGUGGAGCGGCUGUGGUUGCCGACUCUUUCCUCUUCCCCACGGUCCAGUCAGCGGGUUAAUUAGGCCAUUGGCCCUCGAGCCGAGACUUGUCUCUUAUUUAGUUCUGGGGAGCGCCUCGUCGACAUGAGUGAUGUAGAGGAGAACAACUUCGAGGGCAGAGUUAAUGUUCGUGAAGAAAUUGAAGAGUUUUUUCCAAGAAUGUGGAAGAUAAAUCAAGAUAAAAGAAGGCUAAUGAAAAGUAUUAAAGAUCAGAAAAUUAAAAUUGAAUGGGGGAAAAAAUUGAACAGAAGAUUGGUCAGAUAGAAGCACUUGAAUAUUUUUUUAAGGCUAUUUUGAAUUGUUUGAAUUGGGGAAGAAUACACGAAGUAUGAAAAAUGAAAAACUCAAUGAAGAAUGAAGAGAAGUAGAAAGCAAGAGUGAAGUAGAAUUAAAAGAAUCUGGAAGAAUGAAUGGGUCCUAGGUUAAGUAAAUGAGUCUCGCUCUCAGUCAAAAUCUCCAACGGGAACUCCUGCUCGUGUAAAAUCGGAGAGCAGGUCAGGAUCUCGUAGUCCAUCAAGGGUUUCCAAACACUCUGAAUCCCAUUCUCGAUCAAGAUCAAAAUCCAGGUCGAGGUCAAGGAGACAUUCUCAUAGACGUUACACUCGAUCCAGAUCCCACUCUCACUCUCAUAGGAGACGAUCUCGAAGUAGAUCAUAUACACCAGAAUACCGGCGGCGAAGGAGCCGAAGCCAUUCUCCAAUGUCUAACCGGAGAAGACAUACUGGCAGCAGGGCAAAUCCAGAUCCCAACACUUGCCUUGGAGUGUUUGGCCUCAGUCUGUACACAACAG